CAUCUAAGUGCGAAACUCGCCCCAAGAUGAGACUUCCAAACAGGGCCGUCAGAGACGAUGACGUUGAUAGGCUGCAGGUGUAAAGCCAGAGAUGGCAAAGCUGAGCAGUACUAAUAGCCCGAAAACUUGAAUAG
rnacentral:ncRNA from 1 species